rnacentral:rRNA from 1 species
CAGCAGCCGCGGUAAAACGAAGGGUGCAAGCGUUACUCGGAAUUACUGGGCGUAAAGCGUGCGUAGGUGGUGGUUUAAGUCCGUUGUGAAAGCCCUGGGCUCAACCUGGGAAUUGCAGUGGAUACUGGGUCACUAGAGUGUGGUAGAGGAUAGUGGAAUUUCCGGUGUAGCAGUGAAAUGCGUAGAGAUCGGAAGGAACAUCUGUGGCGAAGGCGACUAUCUGGGCCAACACUGACACUGAGGCACGAAAGCGUGGGGAGCAAACAGGAUUAGAUACCCCAGUAGUCCCUGUCUCUUUACA